rnacentral:sRNA from 1 species
UCGUAGGCAGUCGACCCGGGAGGUCAGU